rnacentral:rRNA from 1 species
AUUGAACGCUGGCGGCAGGCCUAACACAUGCAAGUCGAGCGAGCGGCGGACGGGGGAGUAAUGUCUGGGAAACUGCCUGAUGGGGGGGGGUAACUACUGGAAACGGUAGCUCAUACCGCAUACGCUCAGAUGUGCCCCGAUGGGAUUAGCUAGUGGGUGGGGUAACGGCUCACCUAGGCGACGAUCCCUCGCUGGUCUGAGAGGAUGACCAGCCACAAGUGAACUGGGACACGGGCCAGAAUCCUACGGGAGGCAGCAGUGGGGAAUAUUGCCCAAUGGGCGCAAGCCUGAUGCAGCCAGGCCGCGUGUGUGAAGAAGGCCUUUGGGUUGUAAAGCACUUUCAGCGGGGAGGCGUUACCCGCAGAAGAAGAACCGGCUAACUCCGUGCCAGCAGCCGCGGUAAUUC